rnacentral:misc_RNA from 1 species
UGGCUCUCGCAUCGAUGAAGAACGCAGCGAAAUGCGAUAAGUAAUGUGAAUUGCAGAAUUCAGUGAAUCAUCGAAUCUUUGAACGCACCUUGCGCCCCUUGGUAUUCCGAGGGGCAUGCCCGUUUGAGUGCCGUGAUCAUUCUCAACUCCCAAGCCUUUGCUCGGAGUGUUGGACUUGGAUGCUGCUGGUUGCUCCGGCUCAUCCCAAAUGCAUCAGUGAGUCCUCGACUUGCGACCGCAUUGGCGUGAUGGGUCCCAAGGACGAAACGUCGAUCGUGUCCAGUCCCGGCUCGCUCACAACCCGUCCCCAUCGGGGGACAACCGACCCAGUCGGUUUGGGCUCUUUGGAGUCCCGUGGUGUAUGGCCUCAAAUCGGGUAGGACUACCCGCUGA